rnacentral:rRNA from 1 species
CGGUAAUACGGAGGGUGCGAGCGUUAAUCGGAAUUACUGGGCGUAAAGCGCAUGCAGGUGGUUUGUUUAAGUUCAGAUGUGAAAGACCCGGGGCGUCAACCUCGGAAUAGCAUUUGUAAACUAGGCAGACUAGAGUACUGUAGAGGGGGGUAGGAAUUUCUAGGUGUAGCGGUGAAAUAGCGUAGAGAUCUGAAGGAAUACCGGUGGCGAAGGCGGCCCCCUCGGACAGAUACUGACACUCAGAUGCGAAAGCGUGGGGAGCAAACAGGAUUAGAUACCCUGGUAG